rnacentral:rRNA from 1 species
GCUACAGGCUUAACACAUGCAAGUCGAGGGGCAGCAUUUUAGUUUGCCUGCAAACUAAAGAUGGCGACCGGCGCACGGGUGAGUAACACGUAUCCAACCUGCCGAUAACUCGGGGAUAGCCUUUCGAAAGAAAGAUUAAUAUCCGAUAGUAUAUUAAAACCGCAUGGUUUUACUAUUAAAGAAUUUCGGUUAUCGAUGGGGAUGCGUUCCAUUAGUUUGUUGGCGGGGUAACGGCCCACCAAGACUACGAUGGAUAGGGGUUCUGAGAGGAAGGUCCCCCACAUUGGAACUGAGACACGGUCCAAACUCCUACGGGAGGCAGCAGUGAGGAAUAUUGGUCAAUGGACGAGAGUCUGAACCAGCCAAGUAGCGUGAAGGAUGACUGCCCUAUGGGUUGUAAACUUCUUUUAUAUGGGAAUAAAGUAUUCCACGUGUGGGAUUUUGUAUGUACCAUAUGAAUAAGGAUCGGCUAACUCCGUGCCAGCAGCCGCGGUAAUACGGAGGAUCCGAGCGUUAUCCGGAUUUAUUGGGUUUAAAGGGAGCGUAGGUGGAUUGUUAAGUCAGUUGUGAAAGUUUGCGGCUCAACCGUAAAAUUGCAGUUGAAACUGGCAGUCUUGAGUACAGUAGAGGUGGGCGGAAUUCGUGGUGUAGCGGUGAAAUGCUUAGAUAUCACGAAGAACUCCGAUUGCGAAGGCAGCUCACUAGACUGCAACUGACACUGAUGCUCGAAAGUGUGGGUAUCAAACAGGAUUAGAUACCCUGGUAGUCCACACAGUAAACGAUGAAUACUCGCUGUUUGCGAUAUACAGUAAGCGGCCAAGCGAAAGCAUUAAGUAUUCCACCUGGGGAGUACGCCGGCAACGGUGAAACUCAAAGGAAUUGACGGGGGCCCGCACAAGCGGAGGAACAUGUGGUUUAAUUCGAUGAUACGCGAGGAACCUUACCCGGGCUUAAAUUGCAUUUGAAUAAUCUGGAAACAGGUUAGCCGCAAGGCAAAUGUGAAGGUGCUGCAUGGUUGUCGUCAGCUCGUGCCGUGAGGUGUCGGCUUAAGUGCCAUAACGAGCGCAACCCUUAUCUUUAGUUACUAACAGGUCAUGCUGAGGACUCUAGAGAGACUGCCGUCGUAAGAUGUGAGGAAGGUGGGGAUGACGUCAAAUCAGCACGGCCCUUACGUCCGGGGCUACACACGUGUUACAAUGGGGGGUACAGAAGGCAGCUACCUGGCGACAGGAUGCUAAUCCCAAAAACCUCUCUCAGUUCGGAUCGAAGUCUGCAACCCGACUUCGUGAAGCUGGAUUCGCUAGUAAUCGCGCAUCAGCCAUGGCGCGGUGAAUACGUUCCCGGGCCUUGUACACACCGCCCGUCAAGCCAUGAAAGCCGGGGGUACCUGAAGUACGUAACCGCAAGGAGCGUCCUAGGGUAAAACUGGUAAUUGGGGCUAAGUCAUAACA